rnacentral:tRNA from 1 species
UCUCUCGCAGUUUAGUGGUCAGAGCAUUGGCGCGUAAAGUCAAAGGUGCCGGGUUCGAUUCCUGGCAAGGGUG